rnacentral:rRNA from 1 species
UACGUAGGGGGCAAGCGUUGUCCGGAAUUAUUGGGCGUAAAGAGCGUGUAGGCGGUUCGGUAAGUCUGUCGUGAAAUCCUGAGGCUCAACCUCGGGCGUGCGAUGGAUACUGCCGGGCUAGAGGAUGGUAGAGGCGAGUGGAAUUCCCGGUGUAGCAGUGAAAUGCGUAGAUAUCGGGAGGAACAUCUGUGGCGAAGGCGACACCCUGGACCAGCACUGACACUGAGGCACGAAAGCGUGGGGAGCAAACAGG